AUGAACGCUAGCUACAGGCUUAACACAUGCAAGUCGAGGGGCAGCAUGGUCUUAGCUUGCUAAGGCCGAUGGCGACCGGCGCACGGGUGAGUAACACGUAUCCAACCUGCCGUCUACUCUUGGACAGCCUUCUGAAAGGAAGAUUAAUACAAGAUGGCAUCAUGAGUCCGCAUGUUCACAUGAUUAAAGGUAUUCCGGUAGACGAUGGGGAUGCGUUCCAUUAGAUAGUAGGCGGGGUAACGGCCCACCUAGUCUUCGAUGGAUAGGGGUUCUGAGAGGAAGGUCCCCCACAUUGGAACUGAGACACGGUCCAAACUCCUACGGGAGGCAGCAGUGAGGAAUAUUGGUCAAUGGGCGAGAGCCUGAACCAGCCAAGUAGCGUGAAGGAUGACUGCCCUAUGGGUUGUAAACUUCUUUUAUAAAGGAAUAAAGUCGGGUAUGGAUACCCGUUUGCAUGUACUUUAUGAAUAAGGAUCGGCUAGCUCCGUGCCAGCAGCCGCGGUAAUACGGAGGAUCCGAGCGUUAUCCGGAUUUAUUGGGUUUAAAGGGAGCGUAGAUGGAUGUUUAAGUCAGUUGUGAAAGUUUGCGGCUCAACCGUAAAAUUGCAGUUGAUACUGGAUAUCUUGAGUGCAGUUGAGGCAGGCGGAAUUCGUGGUGUAGCGGUGAAAUGCUUAGAUAUCACGAAGAACUCCGAUUGCGAAGGCAGCCUGCUAAGCUGCAACUGACAUUGAGGCUCGAAAGUGUGGGUAUCAAACAGGAUUAGAUACCCUGGUAGUCCACACGGUAAACGAUGAAUACUCGCUGUUUGCGAUAUACUGCAAGCGGCCAAGCGAAAGCGUUAAGUAUUCCACCUGGGGAGUACGCCGGCAACGGUGAAACUCAAAGGAAUUGACGGGGGCCCGCACAAGCGGAGGAACAUGUGGUUUAAUUCGAUGAUACGCGAGGAACCUUACCCGGGCUUAAAUUGCAGAUGAAUUACGGUGAAAGCCGUAAGCCGCAAGGCAUCUGUGAAGGUGCUGCAUGGUUGUCGUCAGCUCGUGCCGUGAGGUGUCGGCUUAAGUGCCAUAACGAGCGCAACCCUUGUUGUCAGUUACUAACAGGUUCCGCUGAGGACUCUGACAAGACUGCCAUCGUAAGAUGUGAGGAAGGUGGGGAUGACGUCAAAUCAGCACGGCCCUUACGUCCGGGGCUACACACGUGUUACAAUGGGGGGUACAGAGGGCCGCUACCACGCGAGUGGAUGCCAAUCCCCAAAACCUCUCUCAGUUCGGACUGGAGUCUGCAACCCGACUCCACGAAGCUGGAUUCGCUAGUAAUCGCGCAUCAGUCACGGCGCGGUGAAUACGUUCCCGGGCCUUGUACACACCGCCCGUCAAGCCAUGGGAGCCGGGGGUACCUGAAGUGCGUAACCGCGAGGAGCGCCCUAGGGUAAAACUGGUGACUGGGGCU
rnacentral:rRNA from 1 species